GGCUUGAUGGUGUAGUGGUUAGCACUGCUGCCUCACAACAAGGAGGUUAUGGGUUUGAAUCCAAUCUGGAGCCU